AUUUUAAAUAAAUAAAAAAAUAAUUCAUUAAUAUUUGAUUUGUACAAUAUCAUCAAACAAAUUUCAACAAAUAUAAAUUUUCAAAAUAAAAAUUAUAUACAUAUAAUUGAUAUUAAAUAUAUAUCUUUAUAACAUAUUUUAUAUUUUGAAUGUUAAUUAAAAAUAUAAAUAUAUCCGCACGGAUGUGCGGAUUAAUAUCUAGUUUAAAAUUAAAGUAUAUAGCAAUCUAUUAUUAUAGUAUAUUUGUUUUAUAAAUAUUUAUAUCCGUGCAUGAGCACGAAAAAAUCACCUAGUAAAUAAAUUAAAAAGAUAAAAGAAAAAUGAAACCAAGUCUAGUUAGAAAAGUUAAACCAAAAGGAGCUUCAACCACCACCGCCUUCAGCCGCCACCUCCGGAGAUGCUCCACCAGCCAUUUUCCGCCUUCACACACACACACAUUAUAAAAUAAAAACAAGAAAGUAAUAAAAUUUUCAACAAGAUGGGACAAGUUAACACUUUUAAGGUGAUGACUUCAAGUCUAAGCACCCCACAAUACGCCUCAUGAGUAGUUGGCUCUGCAAGAGAUCAUUGGAACCAAACGUGAAUUUUGAUGUCUUUUUGAUGAGAGAAAAAAAAAAAAAGACAUUAAUUCACUUUCACAGCGAAACAGUACAUGGUCAUGGCCGAUCAAGAGAAAAAGUUGGUGCAAUUGCAAUAUCAAAAUAUAAAGCAAAGUUGCAAUUGCAAUAUCAAAAUAUAAAGCAAACUACUUUAUUGUUCUAAAAGUAGAAAUUUCACAUUUAGUUAAACCUACCAGAGGACCCAUUCAUGUUCAAAAGUUAAAAGCUUUGAAAACGGAGAAAGAUUAUAUGAAAGAGUAGUGACCUUACACCAAACAGUUUCAUAUCAAAUGCUCAAGCAUGGUUUUCAAGAAAAUGACUCAGGAGAUUUGAUUUGAUCUCUCUGUUCUUCAACUGCCGCAGAUACUCAACCAUAAGAGCUUACAGAAGCUUGCGUUAUGGUAAGCCUUAUGCUACAUACCUGGAAUCCUGUAAACAUCACACUCGGGUCACAUGUCUGGGUCAAGGAUCCAUAACUUGCAUGGACUAAUCGAGAAGUGACAGAAAUCAAAGGCACUAAUGCAACAAUACUCACUGCAGAUGGGAAAACAAUUGUUGCUAGUAUCUCUAGCCUCUAUCCAAAGAAUACAGAGGCGCCACCUGCAGGAGUUGAUGACAUGACUAAACUGGCUUACCUCCAUCAGCCAGAGGUCCUCCACAAUCUUGCUUGCUGGUUAUCACUAAAUGAGAUAUAUACUUAAAAUGGAAACAUCUUGAUUGCUGUGAAUCCAUUCCAAAGACCUCCACAUUUGUAUAGCGUCCAUAUGAUGGAGCAGUAUAAAGGAGCUGCGUUUGGAGAGCUAAGCCCACAUCUGUUUGCCGGUUGCAGACACCAGUUAUAGGUAACAAGUUGUUAAUCAACGAAUAGAAAAUUACUGUAUUAGCUAACGCUUUCCAUGUAUGCCAAGGCGAUGAUAAAUGAGGCAAAGAGCAAGUCUAUUUUGGUUAGUGGAGAGAGUGGAGCUGGGAAGACGGAGACAACCAAAAAGCUCAUGAGAUAUCUUGCAUUCAUGGGAGGCAGAUAAGAUACAUAAGAGAGAAAAGUGUUCGACAAGUUGUUCUAGAGGUGAGUAUUACUUGCUCUGUUUAUUUUUAAAUGACUAGGAGAUUUUGGGCCUGGGGCUAGGCAUAUUCCA